UCAAUCUCGUGUGGCUAUAAUUACCACCGGUCCCUCUAAGAAGAUUUAUAUUUUACGCCGGUAGUUGAAGACCGCGCGCGCGGGCGGACGCGCGCANNNCGUGAGCGACACGAACGCGCGCACGAACCGCCCGGCCGCGGACCCUCGUGAUACCGGUAGCGCGUCUAUUUAAUAGGCUAGAGUUACGUUCGUUAC
rnacentral:rRNA from 1 species